rnacentral:rRNA from 1 species
GACGAACGCUGGCGGCGUGCUUAACACAUGCAAGUCGAACGGAAAGGCCUGCUUUCCCUUGUGGAUUGCGGGUACUCGAGUGGCGAACGGGUGAGUAACACGUGAGUGAUCUGCCCCCAACUUGGGUAUAAGCCUGGGAAACUGGGUCUAAUUCCCGAUAGGACUGCAGGGUGGUGCCUGUGGUGGAAAACGAUUUUCUAGUGGUUGGGGAUGAGCUCGCGGCCUAUCAGCUUGUUGGUGGGGUAAUGGCCUACCAAGGCGGCGACGGGUAGCCGGCCUGGGAGGGUGGACGGCCACAUUGGGACUGAGAUACGGCCCAGACUCCUACGGGAGGCAGCAGUGGGGAAUAUUGCACAAUGGGCGGAAGCCCGAUGCAGCGACGCCGCGUGGGGGAUGACGGCCUUCGGGUUGUAAACUCCUUUCGACCGCGAGGAAGCCACCUGGUUGGAAGGGUGGUGACGGUAGUGGUAGAAGAAGCACCGGCUAACUACGUG